ACAAACUUGGUCAUUUAGAGGAAGUAAAAGUCGUAACAAGGUAACCGUAGGUGAACCUGCGGUUGGAUCAUUAACAAAAACAACCCUUUGAAAAGCAAGUUCCUCUUUAUUUCCCGCCCUUGCGGUGGGAGGUGGGAGGGGCUUCUUUUUAAACCCCAAAACUGUUGAACCUUUUAAAACAGGGGAAAUAAGAGAAGGCUUUCGCGGCAUCUCCCACAACCCUUGUUAUUUUUAAACUAUAUAUUUAAAAGCCUGUCAUGUUUAAUUUUUUUAAAAAAAAAAGAACAAGUCCUAAAAAAACUUGGAAUUUUUUUAUAUUAAAACAAAACAACUUUUGGCAACGGAUCUCUAGGCUCUUGCAUCGAUGAAGAACGCAGC
rnacentral:misc_RNA from 1 species